CCCUUAGAUGUUCUGGGCCGCACGCGCGCUACACUGAUGAAUGCAACGAGCUCUACCCUUGACCGAAAGGCCCGGGUAAACUUGUGAAACUUCAUCGUGAUGGGGAUAGAUUAUUGCAAUUAUUAAUCUUCGACGAGGAAUUCCUAGUAAGCGCGAGUCAUCAGCUCGCGUUGAUUACGUCCCUGCCCUUUGUACACACCGCCCGUCGCUCCUACCGAUUGAAUGGUCCGGUGAAAUCUUCGGAUUGCUGACCAAGAUCCAGCAAUGGAGCUUGGUUGCGAGAAGUUGAUUAAACCUUAUUAUUUAGAGGAAGGAGAAGUCGUAACA
rnacentral:rRNA from 1 species